rnacentral:misc_RNA from 1 species
AUGGAUUCUGGUAUGUUCUAGCGCUUGCACCAUCCCAUUUAACUGUAAGAAGAAUUGCACGGUCCCAAUUGCUCGAGAGAUUUCUCUUUUACCUUUUUUUACUAUUUUUCACUCUCCCAUAACCUCCUAUAUUGACUGAUCUGUAAUAACCACGAUAUUAUUGGAAUAAAUAGGGGCUUGAAAUUUGGAAAAAAAAAAAAAACUGAAAUAUUUUCGUGAUAAGUGAUAGUGAUAUUCUUCUUUUAUUUGCUACUGUUACUAAGUCUCAUGUACUACAUCGAUUGCUUCAUUCUUUUUGUUGCUAUAUUAUAUGUUUAG